rnacentral:rRNA from 1 species
AUCUUGCGUAUUGGGCGAAAGCCUGACGGAGCAACGCCACGUCAGGGAAGUAGGUCGUCGGUUCGCAAACUUCUGUCACCGAGGACGAUAAAUACCGUACACGCUGAGGAAGCCCCGGCCACCCACGUUCCAGCAGCCGCGGUAACACGUAGGGGGCGAGCGUUGUCCGGAAUUACUGGGCGUAAAGGGCGCGUAGGCGGCCUAAUAAGUCAGAUGUGAAACCCCCGGGCUUAACCCUGGGCUUGCAUUUGAAACUGUUGGGCUUGAGGACAGGAGAGGAAAGCGGAAUUCCCAGUGUAGCGGUGAAAUGCGUAGAUAUUGGGAGGAACACCAGUGGCGAAGGCGGCUUUCUGGACUGUAACUGACGCUGAGGCGCGAAAGCCAGGGUAGCGAACG